rnacentral:rRNA from 1 species
UGGGGAAUAUUGGACAAUGGGGGGAACCCUGAUCCAGCCAUGCCGCGUGUGUGAAGAAGGCCUUAUGGUUGUAAAGCACUUUAAGCGAGGAGGAGGGUACUGGUAUUAAUACUACCAGCUACUGGAUGUUACUCGCAGAAUAAGCACCGGCUAACUCUGUGCCAGCAGCCGCGGUAAUACAGAGGGUGCGAGCGUUAAUCGGAUUUACUGGGCGUAAAGCGUGCGUAGGCGGCUAAUUGAGUCGGAUGUGAAAUCCCCGAGCUUAACUUGGGAAUUGCAUUCGAUACUGGUUAGCUAGAGUGUGGGAGAGGAUGGUAGAAUUCCAGGUGUAGCGGAGAAAUGCGUAGAGAUCUGGAGGAAUACCGAUGGCGAAGGCAGCCAUCUGGCCUAACACUGACGCUGAGGUACGAAAGCAUGGGGAGCAAACAGG